CGGGACGGGUGAGUAAUGUCUGGGAAACUAGCCUGAUGAGGGGGGAUAACUACUGGAAACGGUAGCUAAUACCGCAUAACGUCGCAAGACCAAAGUGGGGGACCUUCGGGCCUCUUGCCAUCGGAUGUGCCCAGAUGGGAUUAGCUAGUAGGUGGGGUAACGGCUCACCUAGGCGACGAUCCCUAGCUGGUCUGAGAGGAUGACCAGCCACACUGGAACUGAGACACGGUCCAG
rnacentral:rRNA from 1 species